CCUACGGGUGGCAGCAGUGGGGAAUAUUGGACAAUGGGCGAAAGCCUGAUCCAGCCAUGCCGCGUGUGUGAAGAAGGCCUUCGGGUUGUAAAGCACUUUCAGUGGGGAAGAAAGCCUUGGGGCUAAUACCCUCGAGGAAGGACAUCACCCACAGAAGAAGCACCGGCUAACUCCGUGCCAGCAGCCGCGGUAAUACGGAGGGUGCGAGCGUUAAUCGGAAUUACUGGGCGUAAAGCGCGCGUAGGCGGUCUGAUAAGCCGGUUGUGAAAGCCCCGGGCUCAACCUGGGAACGGCAUCCGGAACUGUCAGGCUAGAGUGUAGGAGAGGAAGGUAGAAUUCCCGGUGUAGCGGUGAAAUGCGUAGAGAUCGGGAGGAAUACCAGUGGCGAAGGCGGUCUUCUGGACUGACACUGACGCUGAGGUGCGAAAGCGUGGGUAGCAAACAGGAUUAGAUACCCCAGUAGUC
rnacentral:rRNA from 1 species